rnacentral:rRNA from 1 species
GACGAACGCUGGCGGCGUGCUUAACACAUGCAAGUCGAGCGGAGCGGCGAACGGGUGAGUAACGCGUGAGUAACUGCCCCCCUCUCUGGGAUAACCGUUGGAAACGGCUGCUAAUACCGGAUAGUGGGGGAUGACUCGCGUCAUAUCAGCUUGUUGGUGGGGUAGUGGCCUACAAAGGCGACGACGGGUUGCCGGCCUGAGAGGGCGCCCGGCAACAUUGUGACGAGAUACGGCCCAAACUCCUACGGGAGGCAGCAGUGGGGAAGAUUGCACAAUGGGGGAAACCCUGAUGCAGCAACGCCGCGGGCGGGAUGACGGCCUUCGGGUUGUAAACCGCUUUCAGCCAUGACGCGGUAGUGGCAGAAGAAGCACCGGCUAACUACGUGCCAGCCGCCGCGGUAAUUC